rnacentral:rRNA from 1 species
GAAGGGGGCGAGCGUUGUUCGGAAUUACUGGGCGUAAAGGGCGCGUAGGCGGCUCUUUAAGUUAGGCGUGAAAGCCCCGGGCUCAACCUGGGAACUGCGCUUAAGACUGGGGAGCUAGAAAACGGAAGAGGGUAGUGGAAUUCCCAGUGUAGAGGUGAAAUUCGUAGAUAUUGGGAAGAACACCAGUGGCGAAAGCGGCUACCUGGUCCGGAUUUGACGCUGAGGCGCGAAAGCGUGGGGAGCAAACAGGAUUAGAUACCCUGGUAGUCCACGCCGUAAACGAUGUCUGCUAGAUGUCGGGGGGUUGCCCCUCGGUGUCGCCGCUAACGCAUUAAGCAGACCGCCUGGGAAGUACGGUCGCAAGAUUAAAACUCCAAGGAAUUGACGGGGGCCCGCACAAGCGGUGGAACAUGUUGGUUUAAUUCCNAANCAACNCGCANAACCUUACCAGUCCUUUGACAUNGGGAAUUUGGUUUCCCANANAUGGAUUCCUUCNNUUCCGCUGGCUCCCACACAGGUUGCUNC